rnacentral:rRNA from 1 species
UGGCGGACGGGUGAGUAACACGUGGGUUAACCUGCCUAAAAGAAGGGGAUAACACUUGGAAACAGGUGCUAAUACCGUAUAUCUCUAAGGAUCGCAUGAAUCCUUAGAUGAAAGAUGGUUCUGCUAUCGCUUUUAGAUGGACCCGCGGCGUAUUAACUAGUUGGUGGGGUAACGGCCUACCAAGGUGAUGAUACGUAGCCGAACUGAGAGGUUGAUCGGCCACAUUGGGACUGAGACACGGCCCAAACUCCUACGGGAGGCAGCAGUAGGGAAUCUUCCACAAUGGACGCAAGUCUGAUGGAGCAACGCCGCGUGAGUGAAGAAGGUCUUCGGAUCGUAAAACUCUGUUGUUAGAGAAGAACACGAGUGAGAGUAACUGUUCAUUCGAUGACGGUAUCUAACCAGCAAGUCACGGCUAACUACGUGCCAGCAGCCGCGGUAAUACGUAGGUGGCAAGCGUUGUCCGGAUUUAUUGGGCGUAAAGGGAACGCAGGCGGUCUUUUAAGUCUGAUGUGAAAGCCUUCGGCUUAACCGGAGUAGUGCAUUGGAAACUGGAAGACUUGAGUGCAGAAGAGGAGAGUGGAACUCCAUGUGUAGCGGUGAAAUGCGUAGAUAUAUGGAAGAACACCAGUGGCGAAAGCGGCUCUCUGGUCUGUAACUGACGCUGAGGUUCGAAAGCGUGGGUAGCAAACAGGGAUUAGAUACCCUGGUAGUCCACGCCGUAAACGAU